AACGAACGCUGGCGGCAUGCCUAACACAUGCAAGUCGAACGAGACCUUCGUGUCUUGUGACGCACGGGUGCGUAACGCGUGGGAACAUGCCCUUAGGUUCGGACUAACUCCCCGAAAGGGGUGCUAAUACCGGAUAAUGUCUCCGUCCCCAAGAUUUAUCGCUUCUGGAUGGGCCCGCGUGGUAUGAUCAAGUUGGAAGGGUAAAGACCUACCAACGCGACGUUCCAUAGUUGGUCCGUAAGGAUGAUCAGCCAGCCUGGGACUGAGACACGUCUCAAACACGUACGCGUGGCAGCAGGAGGGAAUGUUGAACAAUGGGCGAAAGACUGAGCCAGACAUGUCGCGUUAGUAUUGAAGGCCUGAGGAUUGUAGAGCUCUUUUUCAAGGGAUGAUAAUGACAGUACCGUGAGAAUAAGCUCCGGCUAACUCCGUG
rnacentral:rRNA from 1 species